UACGGAGGUGCAAGCGUUGUCCGGAUUUAUUGGGUUUAAAGGGUGCGUAGGUGGUAUUGUAAGUCUGGUUUGAAAGCUGGUCGCUUAACGAUCAGAUGUGGCUGGAAACUGCGGUACUUGAAUGGAUUGGCGGUAGCCGGAAUGGGUCAUGUAGCGGUGAAAUGCAUAGAUAUGACCCGGAACACCGAUUGCGAAGGCAGGCUACUACGAUUUGAUUGACACUGAGGCACGAGAGCAUGGGUAGCGAACAGG
rnacentral:rRNA from 1 species